GCCUGCUGGGAGUUGUAGUUCGUGGCGAGGCGGGGCGCCGCGCAGUGCUCGGGGAACGAAGCUGGGCACCUGCAGCGAGAGCUGGAGGAGUUUGUUCACCUUUGUCCAGGGGGAGUGGGAUUUCAAAAUUUCUCUUCAUAAGACUGCUCACCAGGUGAGGCCUGAUGAAUUUAACACGGACAGAUUGGGAGUAGCCAGAAAAUACACAGGAGCUAAGUGAACAUUACCCCCUGGUGCAGUUGGAGACAUUUGUCUGGGAAAAGACUGAUAAGAGAACCAAAGAAUAAUGACCAAAUUAGCAUCAAAGGCAAAGGGAUCGUUAACCAAUAGGAGAUGAAAUACUAAGAACCGUGUAAUUUAAGACCAGUGAACAAGAAUUUCUUUGUGUUUUGUAUGUAUGAAUAUGUGAAAAGUCUGGUAAAGAACCUCAUGUGAUGGAAUGAUUUUCACUGCACAAUCCAUGCACGUGUGGAUGAAAUAACUUCUAUUGCAAAUCCCGGCCAGAAUAAAGUACUACAUAAUUCUCCAACAUUGAAAAGAUGUUGUUGGAGAGUUUCUGUUAUUGCCAUAGUUUCAGUGACAGUAGAGCACUGCCUUCACAGAGGAAGUCUGUGAAGUCCCACCUGGCACAGGGAGCUGCAGUGUGUGGGUGGGGAACAAAUCCCUGAUGGCCUCCCGCCCCAGGGGGUCCCCUCGGGAGCAGCCGUGCCCCUGGACGUGACUGUCACCUGCACAGCUAAGGACUCAGAUUGGAUGUUAUGUACCCUGGCUGUGGCAGGGACAGGGCCACGUGUGCCACAGAGGGACCAUGGCACUGUGCGCAUGCUGUCCCUGCUGCUUCUCCUCUAGCUGCUGGGUGGGGGUCAGCAGCUCCACUAGGGCACUUGUGGAAGCCAGGGGCCAUUGUGACACAGUGGGGCUGCAGGGAACCCACGUUCUGUUGUGACCCCAUGCCACCCAGGAGACUCCUUGUGACACUGUGGAAUGUAGCAGCGCGCUGAUUGGGGCGUGCUGGGCGGCGGCGCCAGGGGUGCGACUGUCCCCCUGUGAGCUCUGCUGCUCCCAGUUUUCGGCAGGUUCGGCACAGGGACAGAUCAUGAGGACACGGGUCUUGGAGUGAAACGAGCCCCAACACCACCUCUGAGCUGAUACCCGGACCCUGGGGAAAUGACUUCUUUAUCCGUGGAAAAUGGCCCUCUGUUUUCAGCCACUCGCUAAGGGAGAAAUGCAUGCAUUGAAAGGCAUACUGAUUGAACUCAAUGUAGUUUUAAUGGAAACAGCAGUGUAAAAGCUGGACCACUCUCACAGCAAAGUGGGGGAGCCUCGUGGCCUGCAAAGGAGGAGGCACUGCAGGAGUUCCCAGUUCCUGGCGUGGUUCUCCAGUCCUUGGCUGUGACAGUUUCCCCACAGAGCUGAUGUCUCUCGGGCUUGGAUGAUGUAUCAUCAUUGGGGUAACUGGGAUGUAUUCUCUUGAAAAUAUAAAAUCAUAACCAGCAUAAGCCACAAGGUGACACUUUAGGACUACUGGAAAGAGAUUAUCAUCAUGACAAAAUAAAUAAUUUUGAAACUGGAAUGAACUGGGCCAAUUAUGAAGUACACAGCAAGUGUGAAAUUAGUCUCAGUCUUUUCUGAAGGGGAUUGAUUGCUUGGCUGCAAAGAGGCAGGCAGCCAAGUGCUGUAUUGACCCAAAAGAAGAAGAAAGGAACUCAGAAAUUUUUCAUUGAGGGGUCUGCUUUCCUGUUGUCAAAGCCAUAAAGCAGUUUUAUUUAUGGGGAUGCAAAGCAAAUCAGAACAGUGUGCAUAACUUGAAAGUCUAGCAUAUUCAAGGAGAGCACUCCCAAACUUGGCACUUAGAAGUGGCAACGUGAAACAAAUGUGUGUAUGGCUGGAAAUCAACUAUACAUUCAGCAAGUCUAUAGAUCACUGACACUUGUUUCAGUAGCUGUAGUCUAAUAUGCCUCAAGUGAAAGAAACUGAGAGGAUAUAAUUUUAUGAUGUGCCCUGUGGACAGCUCAGCCACAAGCUACACAAUCAAUAUUGAGCUCUAACAGCAAAGUUGUUAUUAGAAAAUUCUUAUUCAAUACUAACCAAUCUUUCUAGCCACCAGGUCUUAGGAAAUCUUUGAUAUAAUUUCCUUAGAACUCCAACCCUUCUAAUAACUCAUAUAUAACUCAAAUAUAACUCAUAGUGCCAUAAAUAUUGAGCACAGAUAUAUACAUAUUUCAAAACAAGGAAAGAAAAACCACCUGAGAACACACUUGUGAUUCUUCUUCAUGUCUUUUCCAGACCUUGAUAUAGUUGCCCAAAAUUAUGUUCCUCAAAGAUGCCAGCAUAGGCAAAAUUUAUACUCUUGAAAUAAGGUGCUCAUGACAUUCUAACAAAGUGCCCCAGGCUCCUCAGCUGAGCAGGAACUAGAGUUCCUCUGUCACUGCUCUGUCAAGUGGUCCUGGAGCUUGUCUGAGCUGAAAAAGCCAGCUGAGGUUAUGUAGCUCCUUGAAAAAGAGAUGGACAUUAUUUUCCUGUUUGUUUAUCACUUACUUUCUACCAACUUGAUUGUCCUGAUGAGAUAGGUAAAGAGAUAAAAGGACUUAGGAAUUUCUUGGACAUUAUUCUACUGUGUUAGAAAGUGCAGUGCAAAUCUAUCCCAACUAUUUUUCCUGAAGUUA